rnacentral:circRNA from 1 species
AGAUCCUGCAUAUUUUGAUGAAAAUUGGCUAAACAGAAUCAAAACUGAAGUAGGAGAUAAUUGGAGGCUAAAGAUAAGCAAUUUAAAGAAAAUUUUAAAAGGAAUCUUGGAUUAUAAUCAUGAGAUUUUAGGACAGCAAAUUAAUGACUUUACCCUUCCUGAUGUGAACCUUAUUGGGGAGCAUUCUGAUGCAGCAGAGCUUGGAAGGAUGCUUCAGCUCAUCUUAGGCUGUGCUGUGAACUGUGAACAGAAGCAAGAGUACAUCCAAGCCAUUAUGAUGAUGGAGGAAUCUGUUCAACAUGUUGUCAUGACAGCCAUUCAAGAGCUGAUGAGUAAAGAAUCUCCUGUCUCUGCUGGAAAUGAUGCCUAUGUUGACCUUGAUCGUCAGCUGAAGAAAACUACAGAGGAACUAAAUGAAGCUUUGUCAGCAAAGGAAGAAAUUGCUCAAAGAUGCCAUGAACUGGAUAUGCAG